rnacentral:rRNA from 1 species
UACGUAGGGCGCAAGCGUUGUCCGGAAUUAUUGGGCGUAAAGAGCUCGUAGGCGGCUCGUUGCGUCGGCUGUGAAAACCCGCAGCUCAACUGUGGGCUUGCAGCUGAUACGGGCGGGCUGGGAUUCGGUAGGGGAGACUGGAAUUCCUGGUGUAGCGGUGAAAUGCGCAGAUAUCAGGAGGAACACCGGUGGCGAAGGCGGGUCUCUGGGCCGAUAUCGACGCUGAGGAGCGAAAGCGUGGGGAGCGAACAGG